ensembl:lncRNA
GCAAUAUUAACGUCUUCUAAUGGGCUUUACAGACACCUGCGGGAAUAUUUUCAUUCAGUUACAAACCGAAGCCAUCUGUUUACAAUAUCAAAUAGUGGUGAGGUCAUUGUGUGUCUUCAUACUGAUACUAGUUAUGUAGUUUUUUUCAACGGUAUUAACCAAGAACAAGUAUAUGCGUUGGGACUAAUAUUAUUUAUGUCAAGAUUAUAUGGUACAGAAGCGACAGCCCACCACCAUUUACGGGGUUGACGUGGCGUCCUGAUGGCAUCCUGAUGACGUAGCGUCCCGAUGACGUGGCGUCCUGAUGGCGUCCUGAUGGCGUCCCGUUGGUCUGCAGACAAGGAGAAGAGACGUGAGGAGGAUCAUCAGGAUGUGUCUAUCUGGAUUUGCUCCUGAGGGGUUGACGUGGCGUCCUGAUGGCAUCCUGAUGGCGUCCCGAUGACGUGGCGUCCUGAUGGCGUCCUGAUGGCGUCCCGUUGGUCUGCAGACAAGGAGAAGAGACGUGAGGAGGAUCAUCAGGAUGUGUCUGUGUGUACAUCUAAUUGUUAGUGUGUCUGUGUGUAGAUCUAAAU